GGGUGCAUAGUUCAAUGGUAGAAUGCGAGCCUCCAGAGCUUGAGAUAAGGGUUCAAUUCCCUUUGCGCCCA
rnacentral:tRNA from 1 species